AACGAACGCUGGCGGCGUGCCUAACACAUGCAAGUCGAACGAGAAAACGGGCUUCGGCCCGUGAGUAAAGUGGCAGACGGGUGAGUAACACGUGGGUAACCUGCCCGGAGGUGGGGGAUAACUUUCCGAAAGGAAAGCUAAUACCGCAUGAUACUCCGGGGACUUCGGUCCCUGGAUUCAAAGUCAGCCUCUACACGUAAGCUGACGCCACCGGAGGGGCCCGCGGCCCAUUAGCUAGUUGGUGAGGUAAUGGCUCACCAAGGCGACGAUGGGUAGCCGGCCUGAGAGGGUGAUCGGCCACACUGGAACUGAGACACGGUCCAGACUCCUACGGGAGGCAGCAGUGAGGAAUAUUGCGCAAUGGGCGAAAGCCUGACGCAGCGACGCCGCGUGGAGGACGAAGGUCUUCGGAUCGUAAACUCCUGUCAAGCGGGACGAAACCCGCCGGGAUGAAUGAGCCCGGCGGCUGACGGUACCGCUGGAGGAGGCCCCGGCUAACUCCGUGCCAGCAGCCGCGGUAAUAC
rnacentral:rRNA from 1 species